UAGGGAAUCUUCGGCAAUGGGGGCAACCCUGACCGAGCAACGCCGCGUGAGUGAAGAAGGUUUUCGGAUCGUAAAGCUCUGUUGUAAGAGAAGAACGUGUGUGAGAGUGGAAAGUUCACACAGUGACGGUAACUUACCAGAAAGGGACGGCUAACUACGUGCCAGCAGCCGCGGUAAUACGUAGGUCCCGAGCGUUGUCCGGAUUUAUUGGGCGUAAAGCGAGCGCAGGCGGUUUAAUAAGUCUGAAGUUAAAGGCAGUGGCUUAACCAUUGUUCGCUUUGGAAACUGUUAAACUUGAGUGCAGAAGGGGAGAGUGGAAUUCCAUGUGUAGCGGUGAAAUGCGUAGAUAUAUGGAGGAACACCGGUGGCGAAAGCGGCUAUCUGGUCUGUAACUGACGCUGAGGCUCGAAAGCGUGGGGAGCAAACAGG
rnacentral:rRNA from 1 species